AACGAACGCUGGCGGCAGGCUUAACACAUGCAAGUCGAACGCGUGUAGCAAUACACGAGUGGCGCACGGGUGAGUAACGCGUGGAUAUCUGCCUUUUGGUUCGGAAUAACCCCGGGAAACUGGGGCUAAUACCGGAUGGUUCCUACGGGAUAAAGAUUUAUCGCCAAAGGAUGAGUCCGCGUACGAUUAGCUAGUUGGUGAGGUAAUGGCUCACCAAGGCGACGAUCGUUAGCUGGUCUGAGAGGACGAUCAGCCACACUGGGACUGAGACACGGCCCAGACUCCUACGGGAGGCAGCAAUGGGGAAUAUUGGACAAUGGGGGCAACCCUGAUCCAGCCAUGCCGCGUGAGUGAUGAAGGCCUUCGGGUUGUAAAGCUCUUUUGGCGGGGACGAUGAUGACGGUACCCGCAGAAUAAGCCCCGGCUAACUUCGUGCCAGCAGCCGCGGUAA
rnacentral:rRNA from 1 species